rnacentral:miRNA from 1 species
AUAAAGGUAGAUGACCG